CAAAUGGCUGUUCUACCCCCAUUCUGUGACUCAACAGGCGUGAAGCUGAGGUCAGGAGUCCUCAGAUGUACAGUGACUCCUAUGAUGUUGACGGUGGGCUGAUUCAGGGCUUUGGCCCUCCUGGGGUCCAGAGAGCCUCCUCGCGCAUGCCCUUCUCUCAUACUCACCCAUACUCAGUUGUUCACAGACAUAUGUGCUAUUUUCCAGGAUAAUUCUGGAAAAUCUGUUUGAAACCAGAAGUGCCCCUGGUUAUGCAAUGGGCUUGGAGAGGUCUCUUUUGCAAACAGGUGGUGCAAUUUCAGAAAACACUCUUGCAGGCACAGCUCUCCUGGGGGAUGGAAGCAGGAUCCAGGCGUUUGGCAAUAGGAGGCUGUGGGCAGGCAGCUGAGGG
rnacentral:lncRNA from 1 species